UUCGCCCUUAGAGUUUGAUCCUGGCUCAGGAUGAACGCUGGCGGCGUGCUUAACACAUGCAAGUCGAGCGAAGCACUUAAGUCUGAUUCUUCGGAUGAAGACUUUUGUGACUGAGCGGCGGACGGGUGAGUAACGCGUGGGUAACCUGCCUCAUACAGGGGGAUAACAGUUAGAAAUGACUGCUAAUACCGCAUAAGCCCACGGGUCGGCAUCGACCAGAGGGAAAAGGAGCAAUCCGCUUUGAGAUGGCCUCGCGUCCGAUUAGCUAGUUGGUGAGGUAACGGCCCACCAAGGCGACGAUCGGUAGCCGGACUGAGAGGUUGAACGGCCACAUUGGGACUGAGACACGGCCCAGACUCCUACGGGAGGCAGCAGUGGGGAAUAUUGCACAAUGGGGGAAACCCUGAUGCAGCGACGCCGCGUGGAGGAAGAAGGUCUUCGGAUUGUAAACUCCUGUUGUUGGGGAAGAUAAUGACGGUACCCAACAAGGAAGUGACGGCUAACUACGUGCCAGCAGCCGCGGUAAAACGUAGGUCACAAGCGUUGUCCGGAAUUACUGGGUGUAAAGGGAGCGCAGGCGGGAAGACAAGUUGGAAGUGAAAUCUAUGGGCUCAACCCAUAAACUGCUUUCAAAACUGUUUUUCUUGAGUAGUGCAGAGGUAGGCGGAAUUCCCGGUGUAGCGGUGGAAUGCGUAGAUAUCGGGAGGAACACCAGUGGCGAAGGCGGCCUACUGGGCACCAACUGACGCUGAGGCUCGAAAGUGUGGGUAGCAAACAGAAAGAGAUACCCUGGUAGUCCACACCGUAAACGAUGACUAUAAGGUGUUGGAGGAUUGACCCCCUCAGUACCGACAGUUAAUCGCAAUAAGUAAUCCGCCUGGGGAGUCCGGCCGCAAGGUUGAAAGUCAAAGGAAUUGACGGGGGCCCGCACAAGCAGUGGAGUAUGUGGUUUAAUUCGACGCAACGCGAAGAACCUUAUCAAGUCUUGACUUCCCUUGACAGACAUAGAAAUAUUUUUUCUAUUAGGAGCAAGGAGACAGGUAGUGCAUGGUUGUCGUCAGCUCGUGUCGUGAGAUGUUGGGUUAAGUCCCGCAACGAGCGCAACCCUUAUGGUCAGUUACUACGCAAGAGGACUUUGGCCAGACUGCCGUUGACAAAACGGAGGAAGGUGGGGAUGACGUCAAAUCAUCAUGCCCUUUAUGACUUGGGCUACACACGUACUACAAUGGCGUUAAACAAAGAGAAGCAAGACCGCGAGGUGGAGCAAAACUCAGAAACAACGUCCCAGUUCGGACUGCAGGCUGCAACUCGCCUGCACGAAGUCGGAAUUGCUAGUAAUCGUGGAUCAGCAUGCCACGGUGAAUACGUUCCCGGGCCUUGCACUCACCGCCCGUCA
rnacentral:rRNA from 1 species